rnacentral:rRNA from 1 species
UACGGAGGGUGCAAGCGUUAUCCGGAUUCACUGGGUUUAAAGGGUGCGUAGGCGGAUAGGGAAGUCCGUGGUGAAAUCCUGCAGCUUAACUGCAGAACUGCCGUGGAUACUCUCUAUCUUGAAUAUCGUGGAGGUUAGCGGAAUAUGUCAUGUAGCGGUGAAAAUGCUUAGAGAUGACAUAGAACACCCAUUGCGAAGGCAGCUAACUACGCGAUCAUUGACGCUGAUGCACGAAAGCGUGGGGAUCAAACAGG